rnacentral:rRNA from 1 species
UACGUAGGGGGCUAGCGUUGUCCGGAUUUAUUGGGCGUAAAGAGCGUGUAGGCGGCCAGGUAGGUCUGCUGUGAAAACUCGAGGCUCAACCUCGAGACGUCGGUUGAAACCGUUUGGCUAGAGUCCGGAAGAGGAGGGUGGAAUUCCCGGUGUAGCGGUGAAAUGCGCAGAUAUCGGGAAGAACACCCGUGGCGAAGGCGGCUCUCUGGGACGGUACUGACGCUGAGGUGCGAAAGCGUGGGGAGCAAACAGG